rnacentral:rRNA from 1 species
UACGGGGGGGGCAAGCGUUGUUCGGAAUUACUGGGCGUAAAGGGCUCGUAGGCGGCCAACUAAGUCAGACGUGAAAUCCCUCGGCUUAACCGGGGAACUGCGUCUGAUACUGGAUGGCUUGAGUUUGGGAGAGGGAUGCGGAAUUCCAGGUGUAGCGGUGAAAUGCGCAGAUAUCAGGAGGAACACCGAUGGCGAAGGCAGGUCUCUGGGCCACUACUGACGCUGAGAAGCGAAAGCAUGGGGAGCGAAACAGG